ACCACCACCGGCGAACCAGUCCCGCGAGAACGCCGCUCGCGGCGCGCGGCCCCGGGGACGCGCGUCCCGACGAGCUCCGAACAACGACCCUCUGGGCGCGGAGAGCGCCAAGGAAUCGAAGCGGAAAGGGCGGCGGCGGCCCCGCCCGGCGCGGGCGCACGGGGAUGCGGCGCCGCCCGUCUGUGAAAAUCUUUUAGACGACUCUCGGCAACGGAUAUCUCGGCUCUCGCAUCGAUGAAGAACGUAGCGAAAUGCGAUACUUGGUGUGAAUUGCAGAAUCCCGUGAACCAUCGAGUCUUUGAACGCAAGUUGCGCCCGAGGCCACCCGGCCGAGGGCACGCCUGCCUGGGCGUCACGCCGCCCAUCGCCUCCCCCCGCGGCAUUCCCAUGCCCCGACGGGGAGCGGAGACUGGCCGUCCGUGCCCGGGCAACCGGCGCGCGGUCGGCAGAAAAGGAGGACACCGUGCGGCGCGACACGGCGUGUGGGGGUUGAGAGGCGACCGGUCGCCGAUCGUACGUCGCGCCCGCAUUCCGCCGCGCGGUGCCGCCCGCGGGACCAUACCCGCCCGCAGCCGCGGGCGCUCGGACCGCGACCCCAGG
rnacentral:rRNA from 1 species